rnacentral:rRNA from 1 species
UCUACGGGUGGCAGCAGUGGGGAAUAUUGCACAAUGGGCGAAAGCCUGAUGCAGCAACGCCGCGUGAGCGAUGAAGGCCUUCGGGUCGUAAAGCUCUGUCCUCAAGGAAGAUAAUGACGGUACUUGAGGAGGAAGCCCCGGCUAACUACGUGCCAGCAGCCGCGGUAAUACGUAGGGGGCUAGCGUUAUCCGGAUUUACUGUGCGUAAAGGGUGCGUAGGUGGUUUGUUAAGUCGGGGGUGAAAGGCUACGGCUAAACCGUAGUAAGCCUUUGAAACUGGGUAAGUUGAGUGCAGGAGAGGAGAGUGGAAGUCCUGGUGUAGCGGUGAAAUGCGUAGAUAUUAGGAGGAACACCAGUGGCGAAGGCGGCUCUCUGGACUGUAACUGACACUGAGGCACGAAAGCGUGGGGAGCAAACAGGAUUAGAUACCCGAGUAGUC